GACGAACGCUGGCGGCGUGCUUAACACAUGCAAGUCGAGCGGAGCGGCGAACGGGUGAGUAACGCGUGAGUAACUGCCCCCCUCUCUGGGAUAACAGUUGGAAACGGCUGCUAAUACCGGAUAAAGGGGGAUGGCUCGCGGCCUAUCAGCUUGUUGGGGGGGUGAUGGCCUACCAAGGCGGUGACGGGUAGCCGGCCUGAGCGGUUGACCGGCCACAUUGGGCUGAGAUACGGCCCAGACUCUUACGGGAGGCAGCAGUGGGGGUUAUUGCACAAUGGGCGCGAGCCUGACCCAGCAACGCGCGUGAAGGAAGACGGUCUUCGGAUUGUAAACUUCUUUAGACAGGGACGCGGUACCUGUAGAAUAAGCCACGGCUAACUACGUGCCAGCAGCCGCGGUAAUAC
rnacentral:rRNA from 1 species